UACGUAGGGGGCGAGCGUUGUUCGGAUUUACUGGGCGUAAAGCGCGUGUAGGCGGCUUUGCAAGUCGGAUGUGAAAUCCCACGGCUCAACCGUGGAAGUGCAUCCGAAACUGCAUCGCUGGAGUCUCGGAGAGGAAGGUGGAAUGCUUGGUGUAGAGGUGAAAUUCGUAGAUAUCAAGCAGAACACCUGCGGCGAAGGCGGCCUUCUGGACGAUGACUGACGCUGAGACGCGAAAGCGUGGGGAGCAAACAGG
rnacentral:rRNA from 1 species